rnacentral:rRNA from 1 species
UGGCGAGUGGCGACGGUAGAGUAAUAUAUCGGAACGUGCCCAGUCGUGGGGGAUAACGUAAGCGAAAGCUACGCUAAUACCGCAUACGAUCUAUGGAUGAAAGACGGGGGGAUCGCAAGACCUCGCGCGAUUGGAGCGGCCGAUAUCAGAUUAGGUAGUUGGUGAGGUAAAGGCUCACCAAGCCGACGAUCUGUAGCUGGGUCUGAGAGGACGACCAGCCACACUGGGACUGAGACACGGCCCAGACUCCUACGGGAGGCAGCAGUGGGGAAUUUUGGACAAUGGGCGCAAGCCUGAUCCAGCAAUGCCGCGUGCAGGAUGAAGGCCUUCGGGUUGUAAACUGCUUUUGUACGGAACGAAACGGUGAGCUCUAAUACAGUUUGCUAAUGACGGUACCGUAAGAAUAAGCACCGGCUAACUACGUG